GUUUACUCAUGUAUAGUAUUUGCUUUUGAAUGUAGGGGUGUGCCUGUAUGUAGUGUUGAUGUUUGAAUGCAGGGGUAUAUUUGUGUGAAGUGUUGGAGUUUGAAUGCUCAAAAAAAUACACUGCUCAAAAAAAUAAAGGGAACACAAAAAUAACACAUCCUAGAUCUGAAUAAAUUAAAUAUUCUUCUGAAAUACUUUGUUCUUUACAAUCUGCUGACAACAAAAU